ensembl:lncRNA
GACAGAAGUAGGAGUGCUGCGGUAAUCAGGACUGAUCAGACGAAUCAGGUUAGGAGGGUUAGAAGCCCUCACCAGGAGGCACAGAACAAACAAAAAAAACCCAACUUUGAACUUCCCAGAAAACGAGAGGAACCCUAAGCUGCCCUCCAGGACGAUGUCUCACUCCUCAACCAGCGGGCAGCGCAGCCUUGCAAGCACGAAAGGGUUAAACCGAGAGAGAAAGAGUUAAACGGAGAGAGAAAGAGUUAAAGCGAGGGAGAAAGAGUUAAACCGAGAGAGAAAGAGUUAAACCGAGAGAGAAAGAGUUAAAGCGAGCCUCGCACAAACUUUGCAGUGAGCUGAGCUCAGAGCGUCCCUCCCUUCGCUCGGAGCCGGAGCUCGGCUCAUCCCCUCCUGGUGCUGCCGAGGGAAGGAGGGAGGCAGGGAGGCUCUGUUUGCCUCCAUCCCAGAGAGCAGCUCAGCCAGAGCAGCUCCUCGGCCCUUGCCCUGCCCCUGCAGGGACCCAGGGGUGCUCUCCAUCAUCAGCUGUGCCCUCCUUCAUCAGCGGUGCCCAUCAUCAGCAGUGCCCUCCAUCCAUCAGCGGUGCCCAUCAUCAGCAGUGCCCUCCAUCCAUCAGCAGUGCCACCCUGCCCAGGUGGCAUCCCAAGGUCGGGAUUUCAGAGCCAUCCCUGCCUCGGAGAUCCACAGCAGAGGAGGAAAAGUGCACUGGGCUGAAGGGCGCUGUGCUGCCUCCAGGACAGCAGAGCCUUCCUGCACAGAUGCCACCGAGGAGAUGCUCCCGGGGACACCAGCAGCGAGCUCGUGGUGUGGAGCAGGGGCUCUGGAGCCUCAUCCCAGCCCUGCUGCCGGCUCUGAAAGAAAUCUGACUUUUUGACCGUUCCUAAUGAGAAACUCAGAACUCCAGACUCCUUAAGCCCUGAAUUAGGAGAGAAGAGAGAUCCCCCCAGACGUUUGGCAAAGCAGAAAACAACCUUCCCCAGCUCACCCAAGGAUAAACCACCUGCUGUGGGAGAGAGAAGCUGGCAGAAAGCUGAUUGCUCAGUCUGUCUGGAAAAACAACGCUUGCAAAGACCAAAGCUGUGCCAACCUUCACAGCUCAGCUUGAGAGAAGAACCAAAGCUUUUCACCAUCCAAAGGAGGUGACCUACCAAGAGGAGGCCCAAAGUAUUUAUAGGACAAAAUAAAAGCCAGAAGGAAGUGUAAAGCACAAGUGUGAUGCUCGUUGUCAUUGUGACAGCAAGGUGCAAAAUGGUCUGCGCAGGCUUGUCCCUCGCAGCGUGCUCAGCUGUGUGAGCAGCAGCCUCGACACACCUGCUGAAGCCAUCGUGCCAUCUGUGCUGAGCUUCCUCUCCUGACCUCCUCUGUGAGUCUGGUGAGGGGAGACAGGAGAUCUGAAGGUAAAUACAGAAAAUGGACCAAAGCUGACAGAGAGCAAUGACUGAGAUCUCUUUCAAGUUCCGCGGGAACCUGACUGGCCGCGUCCACCUUCCAACUCUGGCUACUGAAGUAGACACAACAGCAGACAAAUAUUCUGGCCUCUAUGUGUACGUGGGCUUGUUCCUAACCCUCCUGGCUCUCCUCCUGAUCCUGCUCUUCUCCAUGCUCCUGCGCCUGAAGCAUGUUGUGUCCCCCAUCACCUCCCCAGAGAGCACUGAGAACGUGCAGCACUUCACAGACGUGGAAAUGCACAGCAGGAUCCCCACCACAUAGGGAUCCCACAAAGAGGGCUCUGUGCUUGGGAAAGGUGUUUUUUGUUCAGCAAAGGUGGUGGAAAGAAGCUCUGGGUGCCUGUUGAGCCCCACAAGUUCUUGCAAAGCCUCAGCAGCAUCUGGAGGGUGUUGCUGGCUGUUGGCAUCACAGGCAGCAUGUGUGCAGCAGCCUCCACAAAAUGGACAUCACAGAAACCUGCUGCUGCCAGGGAAGGCUCACACCCCUCUAAAAACCUUGCAGAAAAUGGGAAAAGCCACAUUAAUGACAGCCAAAAACCCAGAGAAACAUAGCAGAAUGUGUCCUGGAGCCUGUGCUUGCUGACCUCUCUCUGAAUCAACAAAGCUGAAGUGGUGUAAGUGGGAAGAGCCCACAGGGCACACGCAGAAAUUGUGGGUGGCUUGAAAAAUCUCAGGCAUUUCUUCCAUUCAAGAAGGAAAACAUUAAAUUGUUCUCUUUCGCUUGAAUGGAUGUCUGCAGCAGCCUCCAUAAAAUGGACAUCACAGAAACUUGCUGCUGCCAGGGAAGGCUCACACCCCUCUAAAAACCUUGCAGAAAAUGGGAAAAGCCACAUUAAUGACAGCCAAAAACCCAGAGAAAUAUAGCAGAAUGUGUCCUGGGGCCUGUGUUUGCUGACCUCUCUCUCUGAAUCAACAAAGCUGAAGUGGUGCAAGUGGGAAGAGUCCAUGGGGCACACACAGAAAUUGUCAGUGGCUUGAAAAUUGUCAGUGGCUUGAAAAUUGUCAGGCAUUUUUCCCAUUCAAGAAGGAAAACAUUAAAUUGUUGUCUUUCACUUGAAUGGCAAUUAAACAAUGGAGUUUCACAAAUAUAGAAAUGUUUCAACACCUGCUGGAACUACAUCUUUCUGACAUUAGAACCCAUUUAAUGAAUAGUUGCACACCAGAUCUCAAAAAGAGACAGAACUUUAAAGAGGAAAGAGAAUAAAGCCAAAAUUGAAGCAAGGUUUAAAAAAAAAAGAAGCAGCAGCAGCAGGAAAUGAGAUUAAAAAACGUAUAAGACACUCUACCUCUUCCUUAGUCCUCCUUUAUAUGAACUGAGCUGAAUACAAACAUUUUUUGCUGUCAUGCUUUUAGGCUCAGUAAUUAAAAUGCAGUGUAAGUUUUGGGAGCCCAAUUGACAUUGCUCUCCUAACAGACUCCACUUCAUAAUAACAUGUUCUCUCAUAUCCAUAUUGGGUUUUCUUCCUCAAAAGACAGAAAAGUUCUUCCAAAGAUUUUUCAUUUGUUUUCCUCCAAAGAAAGCUGAGGAGAUGCCCAGGCCUGGCACUGCAAUAAGGAAUAGUGGGAACAGCUUUGGACACAGACUAACAGGGAGCACGCAGAUGGAAAAUAAACUCACUGAGCACUGAAAGAUAUGAUUGGAUUCAAAUACCCUGACGGAAUCUCACGGGGGAAAGCAAAGUUUAUUUGAAUUUAUGGAACAACAAUCUGACCCAGUCCUAUGAGUGACGUACAGAGGUAGCCUUUGCUGCUGUGGAUGGAAAAGAUGGAACCAAAUAUGGCAAAGCACUCCUGGGAGAGCCACUGCCUCUCACAGAAAAACCUUCAGUGAGUUGUUUCAGCCACAUCUCUAAAGGGCAGGUAUUUUACACAGCUUAUCCACUUUAUUACAGUCUAACUCUAGUUCAGCAAUAAAAUCCCCUGCAUGUUUUCCACACAAACAUACAUUCUUAUUUGCCAAUUCUCCUCUCUCCAAGGGCUUGGAAAGUGUAAAGUCCUCACACAAACCCAGUGAAAAUUUAGAGAAGACACUGUCACAUGGACCUGUGAUAGUAGCAUGAAAUUUUUCUUCAAAUGCUCUGUUUACAACAGGUUUUUUUGCUUACCUUUGAAGGUCUGGGUGAGCUGUUUGGACUGGGAAUAUCUGGGCUUUUACAGAUGGUUGGGGGUGAAGCAGAAUGACAGAUAACACUCCCCCUGGGUACACUGGAUCUCUCAGCAGGACCAGUGCAACUUCUCACUGAUGUAUUGAGUACAAAACCAUUUAAACACUGCUUCCUUAUACUGAAUAAUUCCUUUUUGCUUCGUUAACCCCUGUGAAUCACAGAAUCCCAGAAUGGUUUGGGUUAGAAAGGACCUUGUUCCAUCCCCUGCCAUGGGCAGGGACACCUUCUACUAUGCCAGGUUGCUCCAAGCCCUGUCCAGCCUGGCUUGGGACAGAGAACCAGAACAGUGAUUGUGUGAGGGAAUACACCAAAAAAUUCACUCUCAGCAGUGUCUUUCCAUGCCAUGCUUGGCUGUAUUUCCCUGGGAAAAUGACAGGAUGCAGGUUAUCCUCUAUGGGGACAACACCAGGCAGGAUGGUGGCUUCACACCACGUCUGAAGACUGGCUCCUCGACUCUCAGUACUGCACAAGAGCCAAAAUUUUUUGUGACGAUUAGGCUAUUAAUCCAACUAAGACAGAUGGCUACUGAGUUAGACAAUGACAUUUAAAAUUAACAAUGAGGCAGCUCAGCCCAGGCUCAGCAUCUGACCCUGGAAAACUUCUCCAUUCAAAAGCUACCACUUACCUAGACCCUGUUCUAACUUGCUAAAUCAGCAACUCAACCACAUUAGCUUCCCAGCACAGCUACCUGCAGAAAAGCCUUGUAUUGAGGAGUCUGCAGGACAGACUCAGCUUUUAUUGACAGACUUUUAUUGAUAUAAAAUAUCAGACCUACUGAUGGAAAAUGACAGUAUCAAAUUCUGAGUGCUCUGAUCUCAGUCAAAAUGGCUUCUGAGGUACAGGUCAGGACUGAGCUUCUUUCCAUCACGCUAAGGAAUGUUAAUUCACAAGAGUCUCCCAACACUUUAAAACUUAUUCAGUAACUAUCCUUUAAAUAAAUGAGUAAUCUCUUUAUAUAUCAGAUGGUAACUUUGGGCAGACUGUGUAUUUUUAUAGAGUACUCUUAUGGAAGGCUGCCCUAUCUUCUCACAGGAAAAUGACAAGUUUUCUUUCCAAAGCUUCAUUUCACAUAACGUCUCUGUCCCACUUGACACAUCUACAGUGGCACUCAGGGUGCCUCAUUUGUCUGUAAAAUCCCAGUAUAUUUUAAAACUUUUCCCACUGAGAAACAGAAGAAUGCCUCUCCCCUCUUUUCAUUAUCAUUUGCCGUGUCCCAGACCUGAGGGAUGUGCUGGGAAGAAAGAAUGUUUGGAUGUGCUGGCCUGUGUUUGGUGAGUGGCCUCUAGUGGAGUUUGGCAUUCUUUGGCUUUCAGAAGUGGUUAUUGGAACUUUUGCACAGUUUUGGAGCAUCUUUUGGAACUUUUGCUGCAUCUUGGAGCGCUGCAGGUAUCACAGCCAUACCCUUCCCCUCCUGCAGGCUGUUCUCUUCCCACUUGUCCAUGUGCUAUAGAAAAUGAGGUUUUUUACAAAAAUAAAGAGGCACAUUGCUAUGAAUGCUGAGUCACUGACUGCUCUGUGUGUUCCCACCUGUGGGUCUGAAGGACCAGCUCACAAAAAGGCUCAGGAGGUGCCACUAUUCCAAACCAACUGGGCAAGAAUACCCUCUACCAGUCUGUGUGAGUAUCACAAUUUGCCCCCACCCUUAUUCCCAUCAGACACUGGAAAUAAAUCGAGUAUUGAGUAAAUUCCUCACCUCCUCCACGCCCUGCCUGCGGGGGAGGACAGCCACCUGUUGUUGUGAAGGAGCAGAAAACACAUCCGAGCAUCACCCACCUGCUGGGUGGGGCUGUGAGGCCAGAGGGAGCCUCCUCUUACCCAAAAACCACCAGUGCUCCCAAAUCUCUCAGGGUUCUUAGCCUGGGAGCUGUCAGGAGUAGGGUGUGACUCCCCAAACCAUACAGCAUUAAUCACUGAGUAAUCUCACCCACAUGAUUUCCAUCCACAAG